CGCUGGGCUCGAACCCACAGACUGCGAGAUCAUGACCUGAGCCGAAGUCGGACGCUUAACCGACUGAGCCACCCAGGUGCCCCGCAAGGCAUUCUAAUGAAGACGUGCACACGGGGCUUAGGAACUAGAGAACGGAUUCCCAAGCCAGUUUGGAAUGGACAGGAAUCUAAGAGAGGCUGGCGUUGGAAGGCAGGAUUUUUUGAAAAGGCAUAAACUUGCAAGAAUACGAGAGGAGCACAGCAGCACGAUCUGGGAAUCUGGGAAGCAGAUGGACAAGGGCACGCUCCUGGAGGAGACGGAGGCUGUAAAAUGCCACUUAUGCGCUUGAACCCAAUGACGGUCAUCAGAAGUACAACGCUGGUUCUCUGGAAAGUCAAAGUUGCCGAAGAAGUUAGUAAGCAGAAAUGAGGGAUUGCUGCGAAACCAGAUGGAGCGUUUUCUUCUAAUCGCAUCCGUAGAAAGCACACGGUCUCACGAAAGCAAAGUCCCCACCGCUCUGCUGGCUGCACUCUGUGUUCGGAACCAGGAAGGCUCACGGGAUGCCAGGUGGGAAUCCCCGGGGAUGCUUUCACCUACUGGCCUGCAACCCCAGACCCUGAGGAUUUGGCAAUACUCUGCUGAAAAGCGCCCAAGACGGCGGCAUCCCACUGGUGGAUGGCAUAAAGACCCACUCACAGCCUUAUUUGACUGUUUGCCAAGGAGUCGGCAUCUCAAAGUGUUGCUCUCCCUUCCCCCUCUCUCCAAAUGAAUUCUCCGAUUGUCAUCCUAUGUGCUUAAAAGCAAGGAGAUAAUAGAUAUAUGGACACAUGCCAA